rnacentral:rRNA from 1 species
UACGUAGGGUGCAAGCGUUAAUCGGAAUUACUGGGCGUAAAGCGUGCGCAGGCGGUUAUGUAAGACAGGUGUGAAAUCCCAGGGCUUAACCUUGGAACUGCAUUUGUGACUGCAUAGCUAGAGUACGGUAGAGGGGGAUGGAAUUCCGCGUGUAGCAGUGAAAUGCGUAGAUAUGCGGAGGAACACCGAUGGCGAAGGCAAUCCCCUGGACCUGUACUGACGCUCAUGUACGAAAGCGUGGGGAGCAAACAGG